UACGUAGGGUGCAAGCGUUUGUCCGGAAUUAUUGGGCGUAAAGAGCUCGUAGGCGGUUUGUCGCGUCUGCUGUGAAAACUGGAGGCUCAACCUCCAGCCUGCAGUGGGUACGGGCAGACUAGAGUGCGGUAGGGGAGAUUGGAAUUCCUGGUGUAGCGGUGGAAUGCGCAGAUAUCAGGAGGAACACCGAUGGCGAAGGCAGAUCUCUGGGCCAUUACUGACGCUGAGGAGCGAAAGCGUGGGGAGCGAACAGG
rnacentral:rRNA from 1 species